CAGUAGCCGCGGUAAUACAGAGGGUGCGAGCGUUAAUCGGAUUUACUGGGCGUAAAGCGUGCGUAGGCGGCUUUUUAAGUCGGAUGUGAAAUCCCUGAGCUUAACUUAGGAAUUGCAUUCGAUUCUGGGAAGCUAGAGUAUGGGAGAGGAUGGUAGAAUUCCAGGUGUAGCGGUGAAAUGCGUAGAGAUCUGGAGGAAUACCGAUGGCGAAGGCAGCCAUCUGGCCUAAUACUGACGCUGAGGUACGAAAGCAUGGGGAGCAAACAGGAUUAGAUACCCGCGUAGUCCCUGUCUCUUAUAC
rnacentral:rRNA from 1 species